rnacentral:rRNA from 1 species
UACAGAGGUCUCGAGCGUUAGGCGGAAUCACUGGGCUUAAAGCGUGUGUAGGUGGAUCGGUAAGUACCUUGUGAAAUCCCACAGCUUAACUGUGGAACUGCUUGGUAUACUGCCAGUCUUGAGCCAGCUAGGGCUACCGGAACAAAUGGUGGAGCGGUGAAAUGCGUAGAUAUCAUUUGGAACGCCAAUGGUGAAAACAGGUAGCUGGGGCUGUGCUGACACUGAGACACGAAAGCCAGGGGAGCGAACGGG